rnacentral:rRNA from 1 species
UACAGAGGUGGCAAGCGUUGUUCGGAAUUACUGGGCGUAAAGAGCUCGUAGGCGGCCGGCCAAGUCGGAUGUGAAAUCCCUCGGCUCAACCGAGGAACUGCACUCGAUACUGGUUGGCUAGAGUCCGGGAGGGGAUGGUGGAAUUCCCAGUGUAGCGGUGAAAUGCGUAGAUAUCUGGAGGAACACCGGUGGCGAAGGCGGCAUCCUGGACCGGCAUUGACGCUGAGGCGCGAAAGCCAGGGGAGCAAACGGG